rnacentral:snoRNA from 1 species
UACCUAAUAAAAUCACUUCUUGUGAAACUAUUCUGUCAUAAGAAUGUUCUCAUGUCUCAGAAGUGAGGGGAACCAGGUUUGCUAAAGUAACAGCAGUGAUAGAAAUGUAUUAACUUCAGAUGCUACUGAGGUUGCCCGCUCUACCCUAGUACAGAG